rnacentral:rRNA from 1 species
CCUACGGGAGGCAGCAGUGGGGAAUAUUGGACAAUGGGCGAAAGCCUGAUCCAGCAAUGCCGCGUGUGUGAAGAAGGUCUUCGGAUUGUAAAGCACUUUCGACGGGGACGAUGAUGACGGUACCCGUAGAAGAAGCCCCGGCUAACUUCGUGCCAGCAGCCGCGGUAAUA